rnacentral:rRNA from 1 species
AAUAAACGCUGGCGGCGUGCCUAACACAUGCAAGUCGAGCGGGAAAGCCCUUCGGGGUAAGUACAGCGGCGGACGGGUGAGCAACGCGUGAGAAUCUGCCCUUUAGUGAAGAAUACUCCCGAGAAAUCGGGCAUAAUACUGCAUAAGUCCCUACGGGGAGAAAGAUGGCUUUAUGCUGUCGCUGAAGGAUGAGCUCGCGUACUAUUAGCUAGUUGGGAGGGUAAUGGCCUACCAAGGCGAUGAUGGUUAACCGGCCUGAGAGGGUGUUCG